GACGUAGGGGGCAAGCGUUGUCCGGAUUUAUUGGGCGUAAAGGGCGCGUAGGCGGUCAGCACAAGUCAGUUGUGAAAUCUCCGAGCUUAACUCGGAACGGUCAACUGAUACUGUGCGACUAGAGUGCGGAAGGGGCAACUGGAAUUCUCGGUGUAGCGGUGAAAUGCGUAGAUAUCGAGAGGAACACCUGCGGCGAAGGCGGGUUGCUGGGCCGACACUGACGCUGAUGCGCGAAAGCCAGGGGAGCGAACGGG
rnacentral:rRNA from 1 species